GAUGAACGCUGGCGGCGUGCCUAAUACAUGCAAGUCGAGCGAACAGACGAGGAGCUUGCUCCUCUGACGUUAGCGGCGGACGGGUGAGUAACACGUGGAUAACCUACCUAUAAGACUGGGAUAACUUCGGGAAACCGGAGCUAAUACCGGAUAAUAUAUUGAACCGCAUGGUUCAAUAGUGAAAGACGGUUUUGCUGUCACUUAUAGAUGGAUCCGCGCCGCAUUAGCUAGUUGGUAAGGUAACGGCUUACCAAGGCAACGAGGCGUAACCGACCUGAUAGGGUGAUCGGCCACACGGGAACGGAGACACGGUCCAUACUCCUACGGGAGGCAGCAGUAGGGAAUCUUCCGCAAUGGGCGAAAGCCUGACGGAGCAACGCCGCGUGAGUGAUGAAGGUCUUCGGAUCGUAAAACUCUGUUAUUAGGGAAGAACUAAUGUGUAAGUAACUAUGCACGUCUUGACGGUACCUAAUCAGAAAGCCACGGCUAACUACGUG
rnacentral:rRNA from 1 species